AGGUCUCUAUUGCACAGCUAAGGCCAGAUUACUCGGGUUUGCACAAGGUCUGCCUGCAGAAUGUGCACAACCAGUGUAACUAGUUGUGUUUUAAUAAAUACUAAUAACACGUGUCUAAUUGCGCCAGUCCAUCUCGACAUUUCCUGCCUGCCUCUCAGCAUGACUAAGCGCUUCUCUCUCACCACCGAGCCAAUUGCUGCCUGCACACUGUGAUUAGGGGCAGACCUGUAUCAUUUUCACAAUUAUACUAUAUGUCAUUUCAUACUUGUGGACUGCCAACAAGAGAGCACUGUCCAUCCAGAGGAAAAAUACUGCCUGCAAUCGCUUUCAAGGGCUGAGAGAGGCAAAUGUUUACUCACAGGCACAGCUUUUCUGACCAUGAAUAGUCCCCGUGCUUUCAAAGGGAUUAAGCCUGGUACCAGCUACUAACUCUCUGUUUUUGCUCUGUGGUCUUGCUGUCAUCUUUUCCUGUCUACACCCUUUCCAUAACUCAGUGCAGCACUAGAUCCAAGAAAUCAGUUUUGCCUGCUGCUAUGAAUUCUGUACUGUUUUUGAGUGCUUCUCUCAGCCAAAAAUCAGUUCUUCAACUUUGGCUGUUCUUGUUUCAUCCUACGAUUAAUCCUUCAUAGGUCACUAGGGAGUUUAGCCACAGAGGAACUCACUUUCUCUCUUGUAAGAGGAAAUGCCCUUGAAGGUGCCUUGAACCAUUUCCAAGGAGCUUUGGGAAGAUAAAUAGCAUGUCUGUGCUGUCCACAUUGAUCAGCUGCAAACUUUGCACCUUCUUAUCUUCCCUUGUCCACAAAGUCUGCCUGUCACUGUGCACAUGCAAAUGCAGCCUCAAUAGGUGGCUCUGUAAUAGAGAAAUUCAGAUGUACGUGAUAGCUGCACCAUAGCUCAGCUUCACCUCUUUGCAAGCAUGGUUGAUGCCCCUCCACUCCAAAAAGUUGUAGAGACCCCCACACUGAAGAUGCACUUGGUGUUCAGCACCUGAACUAUGAACACAUUUCUAUAUUUUGUGAGUGUGAUUAAAAGCAUCAUAGGGAAAUGGAUUUGCUGAAGAUUUUGCAAAGGAGAUCAAUGAGAGCAGGAGUCCAAGGACAAGCAACAAGACUGAUUGAUUCCCUUCCUUGACAGCUCAGGACCAGAACCACUAAGGGAGUAGGAUAUUGUUGACCUGAGUACCACUGAAAGCAUUUGCACUCACAAAAAAAAAUUAUCUCUGUUUAAUAAAGCAACACAUGACUUGCAUAAA